CCUAUGGUUGAAACCAUAGGCUAUGUUAUUUCACACCUUCGGCGUU
rnacentral:sRNA from 1 species